UACGUAGGGUGCAAGCGUUAAUCGGAAUUACUGGGCGUAAAGCGUGCGCAGGCGGUUCUAUAAGACAGAUGUGAAAUCCCCGGGCUCAACCUGGGAACUGCAUUUGUGACUGUAGAGCUGGAGUACGGCAGAGGGGGAUGGAAUUCCGCGUGUAGCAGUGAAAUGCGUAGAGAUGUGGAGGAAUACCGAUGGCGAAGGCAGCCCCCUGGGCCAAUACUGACGCUCAUGCACGAAAGCGUGGGGAGCAAACAGG
rnacentral:rRNA from 1 species